rnacentral:rRNA from 1 species
AUCCUGCCGGAGGCCAUUGCUAUUGGGAUCCGAUUUAGCCAUGCUAGUCGCACGAGUUCAGACUCGUGGCGAAUAGCUCAGUAACACGUGGCCAAACUACCCUUCGGAACACAAUACCCUCGGGAAACCGAGGCUAAUAGUGUAUACCAUACCACCACUGGAAUGAGUGGUAUGCCAAACGCUCCGGCGCCGAAGGAUGUGGCUGCGGCCGAUUAGGUAGACGGUGGGGUAACGGCCCACCGUGCCAAUAAUCGGUACGGGUCAUGAGAGUGAGAACCCGGAGACGGAAUCUGAGACAAGAUUCCGGGCCCUACGGGGCGCAGCAGGCGCGAAACCUUUACACUGCACGACAGUGCGAUAGGGGGAUCCCAAGUGCACAGGCAUAGCGCCUGUGCUUUUCGGUACCGUAAGGUGGUACCAGAAUAAGGGCUGGGCAAGACCGGUGCCAGCCGCCGCGGUAAUACCGGCAGCCCAAGUGAUGGCCGAUCUUAUUGGGCCUAAAGCGUCCGUAGCUGGCCGCGCAAGUCCAUCGGGAAAUCCACCUGCUCAACAGGUGGGCGCCCGGUAGAAACUGCGUGGCUUGGGACCGGAAGGCGCGACGGGUACGUCCGGGGUAGGAGUGAAAUCCCGUAAUCCUGGACGGACCGCCGAUGGCGAAAGCACGUCGCGAGAACGGAUCCGACAGUGAGGGACGAAAGCCAGGGUCUCGAACCGGAUUAGAUACCCGGGUAGUCCUGGCCGUAAACAAUGUCUGCUAGGUGUGGCUCCCACUACGAGUGGGUGCUGUGCCGUAGGGAAGCCGCUAAGCAGACCGCCUGGGAAGUACGUCCGCAAGGAUGAAACUUAAAGGAAUUGGCGGGGGAGCACUACAACCGGAGAGCCUGCGGUUUAAUUGGACUCAACGCCGGACAUCUCACCAGCAUCGACUGUAUAAUGACGACCAGGUUGAUGACCUUGUCCGAGUUUCAGAGAGGAGGUGCAUGGCCGCGUCAGCUCGUACCGUGAGGCGUCCUGUUAAGUCAGGCACGAGCGAGAACCCGCACCCUUACUGCCAGCAGUACCGCGAGUACUGGGACAGUAGGGGACCGCCUGGCCUAAACCGAGAGAACGGGCACCGUAGUCAGAUAUGCCGAAGGCUGGCACACCGGCUAAUGGUCGACAAGUCCACUCGAAGGAACGAUUCGAAACCUAUCUGAUUCGAAUAUUUGUCUCU